CAGAUCAGAUUGAGGCCACCAUCGAGCGAGAUUGCCUCUCCAGCAGGCCCACCUUUCUCCUCCUUCCUCUCUUACAUAUCAUUUUUUCUUUUUCUCUUAGCCAUGAGCACGAGCAUGCAGUGAGCGGGGCAGCCUCGGGGGUGAGCGCAGCGGCGCGACGUUGCAGCCUGGCAUGCGGGUGGGCAGUGCCGGUCCUCUACGCACGCCGGCGGUCAUCUCCAGGCACGGAGAGCUGCAGUCGUAGGGCAAGGUGGGGGCGCGGUGACCUGUUGUUGCAGGGAAAGGCCGGGGGCGGCGACAGCUCCAGGGCGAGGCGGGGCCGACCGGGCGUGGCGAGGGCGGGAGCACAGGUGGGCAACUGGCGCUUUGGCGAGCGAGAUUGAGCGCAUAGGCCGGCGCGGUGGGGA
rnacentral:lncRNA from 1 species